AUGGUGGUGGUGAAGAUGCGGAUAAUGGAGAUGCUGAUUCAAAUUGUUCAGGUCUGGGGGUGCAUCAGAAAAAACGACAGAGGGGGAGACCAACGACAAGUCGAGACAAAGCUCCUUAUGAGAAUCAUCUUAAGAGGUCCAGAUUCUAUACAAUUUGCAGAUUGCAAGGUCACAAAUGCACAACCUGCCCACAAAGAGGAGAUUUGCCAAAGGCUCCAAGGAAAUUGCCGAAGUGUAGCAACUGUGGGGUGGUUGGACAUCGACGGAAUGCCUGCGGCACUAAGAAAAGUGCACCGUUCGAGCCUAAUUUCUUAUAGUUCAUUUAAGAACAUUUUCUGGGUGGCGCGGACCCUGGAAACCCAUUCGAACAGUGGAGAGAUGGCGCCCAGCAGCACCGUGUCCCCAAGCUCUAAUCUCACCGAAACGUCUGGCUCCACAUUGACAGUAGGCAGUGUGCAGGCAAGUGUGCUGGGGCAAGGACCUGUCGUUGGUGCAGAGGUUGAGGUGGACGAGACGGUGGUGGAUAAUGGUGAUCUUGGGGUGGAGCUUCCUGUUUUCUCUUGUGAGGAGGAGACGGUGGAGUUUAAUCCUUGCAUGGCGCAUGCAGUGCAAGUAGAGGCAUGCGAGCUGGAGGAGGGGGACCACAUGUCGGGGACUGGUACUGUAGGCGCUGGCUGCGAAGAAGAUGACACCGAGAUCCCUCCAUGCAAGCGAGCAAAAAUUUAG
rnacentral:rRNA from 1 species